GACGAACGCUGGCGGCGUGCUUAACACAUGCAAGUCGAACGCUGAAGCUCAGCUUUUGUUGGGUGGAUGAGUGGCGAACGGGUGAGUAACACGUGAGUAACCUGCCCCCUUCUUUGGGAUAACGCCCGGAAACGGGUGCUAAUACUGGAUAUUCACUGGUCUUCGCAUGGGGGUUGGUGGAAAGGGUUUUUCUGGUGGGGGAUGGGCUCGCGGCCUAUCAGCUUGUUGGUGGGGUGAUGGCCUACCAAGGCUUUGACGGGUAGCCGGCCUGAGAGGGUGACCGGUCACAUUGGGACUGAGAUACGGCCGAGACUCCUACGGGAGGCAGCAGUGGGGAAUAUGGCACAAUGGGCGCAAGACUGAUGCAGCGACGCCGCGUGAGGGAUGGAGGCCUUCGGGUUGUGAACCUCUUUCGCUCAUGGUCAAGCCGCAACAAUGGUUGUGGUGAGGGUAGUGGGUAAAGAAGCGCCGGCUAACUACGUG
rnacentral:rRNA from 1 species